AUGUCUCUCUCCAGGACAAUGUUAACCUCUUCCACGGUGGAGUGGGGCUAUGUGAUUUUGUGCUUAAUUUACCUAGCUGGUGGGCCUCCAGUAGAGGCUGAACCAGUCGAGCCAGCUGAUACCACAUCAAUUCUCCAAAGGUGCAGCAGCUGCCUUCAGGAAGUCACUGGACUGGAAAUGAAGACGCUGAAAAUUCCUGACCAGACUCUCUGAAACGUUUUAGCUCCAUGACUUCACAGCAUUGCGCUUGUUUCCUCACAUAGAAAAUGAAGGGUUCAGGUCUUUAAAGAACUUUCUAGGUCUAAAAACGGUCAGUGAAUAAUUUAUGGAAAUGCACUGGAUGUGAUUUCUCCUACUGCUGCUGUUGUUCAUGGACCUGACUGGUUUUUUCUGGACAGUAAAAGGGCCUCACACAUUGAUGAACCUUUCCCCCCAUAUCCCUGCUACUUUCUCACCAUGCUGCCACUGCUGGGUCACGCAGAAAACAGGGGCACUAGGCCGUGGGUGGAGAUUCUGGGUAGUGGAUGGUGUCAUCUGAGUUGAUCCAGGGCGCCCAGAAUUCAUGCCUCCCGUGCCAUCAGUAUUUCUGCCAUGAGCUCAUUCACACAGCAUUCAUUCACUCAAAAUGUUAGCAGUACAUAUAUGUACAGAGACGAUCACAAACAUUAAAAUCCAAAACAAAAUGUAUCAUUGAGGAUACCAACAAGGAGCAGAUGGCUCACACAAAUUAGGAGGUAUCAAGGAAGGGUUAUUUACAAAGAGACUCUUUAUGAAAAUGUGGGAAGCACAAAGGAUGCUACAGUGACCUGAGGUUAAUAGCAGUGGAGUAGCCACCGUGACUAAGACUGAAGGGACAAGGGAGUGGUGUCUGGAAUUCUUAAGAAUCUCAAAAAGGGGACCCUCUGAAGAGGAGCAGUGACAUUUGGUUGAGCAGCACAAACAGCCCAAGGCAAUCUCUCGGAAAGGGAUCCAAAGAGAAUAAAUAACCUGAAGAUACUGUCUUCUCUCCCUCUUAUCUGCUGCCAAGUCUAUUCCCUGGAUAAACCCAACUGGAAGCCAAGAGUAGGGGAGUCUAUUGAUGGAGUCCAUAGACAUCCACCUUCUGAGGCAGGAGGGAGGAGGGAGAGGGGUGAGGGUGGAUUCAGAGGGUCAAAGAGAAGACAUCCAGCAC
ensembl:lincRNA